rnacentral:rRNA from 1 species
UGAGACUGCCGGUGACAAACCGGAGGAAGUGGGGAUGACGUCAAGUCCUCAUGGCCCUUAUGGGUAGGGCUUCACACGUCAUACAAUGGUCGGUACAGAGGGUUGCCAAGCCGGCGAGGUGGAGCCAAUCCCUUAAAGCCGAUCGUAGUCCGGAUCGUAGUCUGCAACUCGACUACGUGAAGUCGGAAUCGCUAGUAAUCGCAGAUCAGCAUGCUGCGGUGAAUACGUUCCCGGGUCUU